rnacentral:rRNA from 1 species
AGCGAACGCUGGCGGCAGGCCUAACACAUGCAAGUCGAACGAAGUCUUCGGACUUAGUGGCGGACGGGUGAGUAACACGUGGGAACGUGCCUUUAGGUUCGGAAUAACUCAGGGAAACUUGUGCUAAUACCGAAUGUGCCCUUCGGGGGAAAGAUUUAUCGCCUUUAGAGCGGCCCGCGUCUGAUUAGCAAGUUGGUGAGGUAAAGGCUCACCAAGGCUACGAUCAGUAGCUGGUCUGAGAGGAUGACCCGCCACAUUAGGACUGAGACACGGCCCAAACUCCUACGGGAGGCAGCAGUGGGGAAUCUUGCGCAAUGGGCGAAAGCCUGACGCAGCCAUGCCGCGUGGAUGAUGAAGGUCUUAGGAUUGUAAAAUCCUUUCACCGGUGAAGAUAAUGACUGUAGCCGGAGAAGAAGCCCCGGCUAACUUCGUGCCAGCCGCCGCAGUAACAC